GACCCGAAACCGGGCGACCUACCCAUGAGCAGGAUGAAGCGAAAGUAAAACUUCGUGAGAUCCGAACCCUCGAGAGUUGAACUGAUCGGCGAUGACUUGUGGGUAGCGGUGAAAUACCAUUCGAGCACGGAGAUAGCUGGUUCACCCCAAAAUAGCUUUAGGGCUAGCAUCAAGGUGAGAGAUACGGAGGUAGAGAACUGAAUGUCCUUGGGGGUAUGGCACCUACCGAAGACUAUCAAACUCCGAAUGCCGUC
rnacentral:rRNA from 1 species